rfam:Cicer arietinum chromosome Ca6, whole genome shotgun sequence.
GAGCAAUGAUGAUUCUGGUGGUGAAUGUGGUGAUGGGUUCAUCACUAACAGCUACAUUUGUGGCGAAAACUUCCACAUCUGAGCUC